rnacentral:rRNA from 1 species
CAGUCGCCACGGUAAUACGAAGGGGGCUAGCGUUGUUCGGAAUUACUGGGCGUAAAGCGCACGUAGGCGGAUAUUUAAGUCAGGGGUGAAAUUCCAGAGCUCAACUCUGGAACUGCCUUUGAUACUGGGUAUCUUGAGUAUGGAAGAGGUGAGUGGAAUUCCGAGUGUAGAGGUGAAAUUCGUAGAUAUUCGGAGGAACACCAGUGGCGAAGGCGGCUCGCUGGUCCAUUACUGACGCUGAGGUGCGAAAGCGUGGGGAGCAAAUGGGAUUAGAUACCCCUGUAGUCCCUGUCUCUUAUAU